rnacentral:rRNA from 1 species
UACGUAGGGCGCGAGCGUUGUCCGGAAUUAUUGGGCGUAAAGAGCUCGUAGGCGGCUUGUCACGUCGGUUGUGAAAGCCCGGGGCUUAACCCCGGGUCUGCAGUCGAUACGGGCAGGCUAGAGUGUGGUAGGGGAGAUCGGAAUUCCUGGUGUAGCGGUGAAAUGCGCAGAUAUCAGGAGGAACACCGGUGGCGAAGGCGGGUCUCUGGGCCGAUACUGACGCUGAGGAGCGAAAGCGUGGGGAGCGAACAGG